rnacentral:misc_RNA from 1 species
AAAAAAAUUGGCCAACACUGGCUUGCCCAAGCGGCAAUGGAUUGACCUUUUGGUCACAUGAGUGGGAAAAGCAUGGUACCUGCUCUGAGUCUAUCCUUGACCAACAUGGCUACUUCGAGGCUGCCCUUGACUUGAAAAAGCAAGUAAAUCUCCUCCAAGCUCUUCAGAGCGCAGGAAUACAACCAAAUGGGGGAACAUACAGCUUGAGCAGCAUCAGGAG